AUUGAACGCUGGCGGAAUGCUUUACACAUGCAAGUCGAACGGUAGAGGGGCAACCCUUGAGAGUGGCGAACGGGUGAGUAAUGUAUCGGAACAUGCCCAGUCGUGGGGGAUAACGUAGCGAAAGUUACGCUAAUACCGCAUACGAUCUAUGGAUGAAAGCGGGGGAUCGCAAGACCUCGCGCGAUUGGAGUGGCCGAUAUCAGAUUAGGUAGUUGGUGGGGUAAAGGCCUACCAAGCCGACGAUCUGUAGCUGGUCUGAGAGGACGACCAGCCACACUGGGACUGAGACACGGCCCAGACUCCUACGGGAGGCAGCAGUGGGGAAUUUUGGACAAUGGGCGCAAGCCUGAUCCAGCCAUUCCGCGUGCAGGAAGAAGGCCUUCGGGUUGUAAACUGCUUUUGUACGGAACGAAACGGUGCUCUCUAACACAGGGCGCUAAUGACGGUACCGUAAAAAUAAGCACCGGCUAACUACGUGCCAGCCGCCGCGGUAAAAC
rnacentral:rRNA from 1 species